GAAGAACGCUGGCGGCGUGCCUAAUACAUGCAAGUCGAGCGAACGGACGAGAAGCUUGCUUCUCUGAUGUUAGCGGCGGACGGGUGAGUAACACGUGGAUAACCUACCUAUAAGACUGGGAUAACUUCGGGAAACCGGAGCUAAUACCGGAUGAUAUUUUGAACCGCAUGGUUCAAAAGUGAAAGACGGUUUUGCUGUCACUUAUAGAUGGAUCCGCGCUGCAUUAGCUAGUUGGUAAGGUAACGGCUUACCAAGGCAACGAUGCAUAGCCGACCUGAGAGGGUGAUCGGCCACACUGGAACUGAGACACGGUCCAGACUCCUACGGGAGGCAGCAGUAGGGAAUCUUCCGCAAUGGGCGAAAGCCUGACGGAGCAACGCCGCGUGAGUGAUGAAGGUCUUCGGAUCGUAAAACUCUGUUAUUAGGGAAGAACAUAUGUGUAAGUAACUAUGCACAUCUUGACGGUACCUAAUCAGAAAGCCACGGCUAACUACGUG
rnacentral:rRNA from 1 species